rnacentral:tRNA from 1 species
AGGUCUGUAGCCAAGUUGGUAAGGCAGGCGGUUUUGAUCCGUCCACCACAGGUUCGAAUCCUGUCAGGCCCG